rnacentral:tRNA from 1 species
AUUUUAAUAGCUUAUAUAGAGCAUAAUAUUGAAGAUAUUAAGGAAACAAUGUUUUAAAAUA